UAGAGAGCCCGAGUUCUGUUCCCAGCACCCACAACUCACAACCAUUUGUAACUCCUGACUCCAGUUCUAGACCUGGAACUGACCUCCAUGGGCACUUCAAGCACACAUGUCCAUGUGCAUACAUGUAGACAAGAUACUAAUGCACAUGCUAUUUAAAAAUUAGAAAUAAAUUUUCAAAAGGAAUGGUUUCUCAGAGGGAGUUCUCUGUUGUUGAGAAAUUGGUUAUUCCUGUUUCCUCCAGCCUUCAAGGAAAAGCCCGGGCAUUCACGCCCUUCCCAGCUUGGCUCAGUUACAAACUGGUUUCUGAUAGUGACUGACCCUGUGGACUGGUUCAGUUGUAACUGCUCCUCCUCCAAUUCAUUUCACACUCACCGUGGGCAGCCAGUCAGUAUGUUGUAGUUUUCUCUUUGAGAUAAAUGUGUCGAAAAUGUUUAUGUAUUUAAAAAAAACACCAGUCAUUCAUGGUGGUGGGAGAUGCCCUGUUCAUUGCCCUUCUCCAGAUAAAACUGGUGAAGAGCUUGAUGAACACUGGACUGAAUGGUCUCACUUCUCUUGACUCAAGGCCGUGACCAUCUUUCUCUGACUGCACGUGCAUUUCCUGUCCUCCCAGGAGCUUUGAAAGGUUCUGUUGUUUUAAUUAGGGUGUUUUCAGUUGCUCAGCUCUGUAGACACGGAGCCCAGGCCUCUCUGUAGAAAGCUGAUGAUGUCUUGGAGUUUAAGCAACGUACAAUUCAGUUAAAAAAAAAAAAAAAAAA
rnacentral:lncRNA from 1 species